rnacentral:rRNA from 1 species
AUUGAACGCUGGCGGCAGGCCUAACACAUGCAAGUCGAGCGGGGUUUUCGGACCUAGCGGCGGACGGGUGAGUUAUGCGUAGGAAGCUACCCGAUAGAGGGGGAUACCAGUUGGAAACGACUGUUAAUACCGCAUAAUGUCUACGGACCAAAGUGUGGGACCUUCGGGCCACAUGCUAUCGGAUGCGCCUACGUGGGAUUAGCUAGUUGGUGAGGUAAUGGCUCACCAAGGCGACGAUCCCUAGCUGGUUUGAGAGGAUGAUCAGCCACACUGGAACUGAGACACGGUCCAGACUCCUACGGGAGGCAGCAGUGGGGAAUAUUGGACAAUGGGCGCAAGCCUGAUCCAGCCAUGCCGCGUGUGUGAAGAAGGCCUUCGGGUUGUAAAGCACUUUCAGUAGGGAGGAAGGGUGUUGUGUUAAUAGCACAGCAUUUUGACGUUACCUACAGAAGAAGCACCGGCUAACUCUGUGCCAGCAGCCGCAGUAA